rnacentral:rRNA from 1 species
GACGAACGCUGGCGGCGUGCCUAAUACAUGCAAGUCGAACGCUGAAGAGAGGAGCUUGCUCUUCUUGGUUGAGUUGCGAACGGGUGAGUAACGCGUAGGUAACCUGCCUUGCAGCGGGGGAUAACUAUUGGAAACGAUAGCUACUACCGCAUAAUAUAUGAUGACACAUGUCACCUACGUUAAAGGAGCAAUUGCUUCACGACAAGAUGGACCUGCGUUGUAUUAGCUAGUAGGUGAGGUAAUGGGUCACCCAGGACACGAAACAUAACCGACCAGAGAGGGUGAUCGGCCACACUGGGACUGGAGCACGGCCCAGACUCCUGCGGGAGGGAGCAGGAGGGGAUCUUCGGGAAUGGGGGCAACGCUGACCGAUCAACGCCGGGUGAAUGAAGGAGGUUGUCAGGUCGUGAAAUUCAGUUGUGAGUCAAGGACGGAUGUGAGAGUGGAACGUUCACACAGUGACGGUAGCUUACCAGAAAGCGACGGCUAACUACGUG